CAGACCCCGUUUGCCUCAGGAAGCCAAGCUCGUCUGGAUCCCCACCAUGGCCUGGGCCCCUCUGCUCCUUGCGCUGCUCACGUACCGCUCAGGUGCCAGCUCCCAGUACGCAGUGACUCAGGAGCCCUCCUUGUUGGUGUCUCCUGGAGGGACUGUCAAACUCUCCUGUAGCUUGAGCAUCGUAUCUGACAUCACCAGCGAAUACCCGUACUGGAUCCAGCAGCGGCGGGGCGGGGUGCCUCGCCUCCUCAUCUACAAUGCUAACGUGAAAGUGUCAGGGACCCCCGAGCGGUUCUCUGGGUCCAGUUCCGGUAACAUGGCCUAUUUAACCAUCAGUGGGGCCCUGGCGGAGGACGACGCUGAUUAUUACUGCCUCACUCACCACUAUCAAAGAGGGGCUUUUAAGGCUACCCAGUGAGACACUCAGAUGGGG